GAUGAACGCUAGCUACAGGCUUAACACAUGCAAGUCGAGGGGCAGCGGUAUCGAAAGCUUGCUUUCGGUAGCCGGCGACCGGCGCACGGGUGAGUAACGCGUAUCGAACCUGCCUCAUACUCGGGAAUAGCCUUGCGUAAGUAAGAUUAAUGCCCGGUGUUUUCAGAGUCCCGCAUGAGGCUUUGAACAAAGAUUUAUCGGUAUGAGAUGGCGAUGCGUCCCAUUAGCUUGUUGGCGGGGUAACGGCCCACCAAGGCAUCGAUGGGUAGGGGUUCUGAGAGGAAGGUCCCCCACAUUGGAACUGAGACACGGUCCAAACUCCUACGGGAGGCAGCAGUGAGGAAUAUUGGUCAAUGGGCGGAAGCCUGAACCAGCCAAGUAGCGUGCAGGAAGACGGCCCUCCGGGUUGUAAACUGCUUUUAGUUGGGAAUAAAACGGGGCUCGUGAGCCCCCUUGCAUGUACCAUCAGAAAAAGGACCGGCUAAUUCCGUG
rnacentral:rRNA from 1 species